ensembl:lncRNA
CGGUGUGCUUACCUCUCUCCAUCUUUCCCUCCACCCACCCGCCCAUGUCUUCAGCAAUAGGAAGCUUGCACCCACGCAGGGUUCCCGCCCACCUCCCCAGCAUUCCCGUUGCCCACCAUUUUCUGAAUCAAAAUGGAUAGAAGACGAGGCUGUGGGUGAACACUGCAGUACUGGAUCUGCUCCCGGUCCCCCCUCCCCACUUUCCUUUCCGGUGGUUUGCAGGUGGCUUCCACCUGCACUUGCAGGGAACCCAGGGAUUUGCCUCCUCCUCCUCUCUUCCUGGGCGGGAGGCCAACCUGCUUUCAAUGCAGUAGGGAGCUGGUACCCAAGCCUGACCGCCGCGCCACAAGCCCACCAUUUUUUUUGCCCCAAAGUCGACAGGAGCAGGAGCAGGAAAGGAGCAUAGGCAAUGCAGUCGUGGGCCCGCAUUGGUGUUCGCCCUCGCCUUUGGAUAGCCUCUGAUCAAAUCGCGGGCAGAUGCUACUCUCCUCCUCUGGUCUAGAAGCGCACCCGCCUACUCCUACUCCAAGGACCUAUGGGUGCAUGUGUGCUCACUCAGUUGUGACCAACUCUUUGCAACUGUUUCCAACUACAUGGACUGUUGCCAGCCAGGCUCCUCUAUCAAUGGAAUGUUCCAGAUGAGAAAAUAGACCUGGAAAAAGAUUAAAUAUAUUGCUAAGUUCAUCUAGCAAGCCAGGAAAGAGACCAGCCCUGGGACAUACAUCUAUGGACUUCUGGUUAUCCUCACUAGGUUCCUUGAUGGCUUGUAUGAUUCAGGAGGGACUUGCUCCCAACAUCCCACCAUCUAAAGAUGUUCAGAAUAUGCUACAGGGAUAUUUCCUUGGUGAAGGCUGCUCACAGA